rnacentral:rRNA from 1 species
UAGGGAAUCUUCCGCAAUGGACGAAAGUCUGACGGAGCAACGCCGCGUGAGUGAAGAAGGCUUUCGGUUCGUAAAACUCUGUUGUUAGGGAAGAAAAAAUGUAUAGUAACUAUAUACAAAAGAGACGGUACCUAACCAGAAAGCCACGGCUAACCACGUGCCAGCAGCCGCGGUAAUACGUAGGUGGCAAGCGUUGUCCGGAAUUAUUGGGCGUAAAGCGUGCGCAGGUGGUUUAGAAAGUCGGAUGUGAAAGCCCACGGCUCAACCGUGGAGUGUCAUUGGAAACUAAUAAACUAGAGUGCAGGAGAGAAAAGCGGAAUUCCUAGUGUAGCGGUGAAAUGCGUAGAGAUUAGGAGGAACACCGGUGGCGAAAGCGGCUUUUUGGACUGCAACUGACGCUGAGGCGCGAAAGCGUGGGGAGCAAACAGG